GCAAGUCGAGGGGUAACAUUAUGCUUGCACAGAUGACGACCGGCGCACGGGUGCGUAACGCGUAUAGAACCUACCUUUUACAGGGGAAUAGCCCAGAGAAAUUUGGAUUAAUGCCCCAUAGUAUUAUAGAAUGGCAUCAUUUUAUAAUUAAACAUUUAUGGGUAAAAGAUGGCUAUGCGUUCUAUUAGCUAGAUGGUAAGGUAACGGCUUACCAUGGCAACGAUAGAUAGGGGUCCUGAGAGGGAGAUC
rnacentral:rRNA from 1 species